CGGAGACACGGCCGGGGCUCCCGACGGAGACACGGCCGGGGCUCCCGACGGAGACACGGCCGGGGCUCCCGACGGAGACACGGCCGGGGCUCCCGAAAGGGACACGGCCAGGGCUUCCUCUAGGGUCUCCUCAGGGGUCCCCUCAGGGCGCCUCUCAAUGCUCCUUCAGGGCUCCCCUCAGCGAGCUGAUGUUCAGCAGGCUUUCCUCAGAAAUUAUCACCAGCGUUGCAGUUCUUCACACAUUCCCCGUGGAACACAAACACAAAGACCACAGCGUUUAAUCAUCCUGGUUGUGCUCAGGGUUGUCUCAUGCUCUCCUCGUGCUGAGCCUGGCUUAGUUUGAAUGUUCAAGUCCUACAUAAUAAACCUGCCUCAACUCGAUGAGAGUGCUAAAUGCA